AACGAACGCUGGCGGCAUGCCUAACACAUGCAAGUCGAACGAGACCUUCGGGUCUAGUGGCGCACGGGUGCGUAACGCGUGGGAACCUGCCCUUAGGUUCGGCAUAACUCCCCGAAAGGGGUGCUAAUACCGGAUAAUGUCUUCGGACCAAAGAUUUAUCGCCUUUGGAUGGGCCCGCGUUGGAUUAGCUAGUUGUUAGGGUAAAAGCCUACCAAGGCGACGAUCCAUAGCUGGUCUGAGAGGAUGAGCAGCCACACUGGGACUGAGACACGGCCCAGACUCCUACGGGAGGCAGCAGUGGGGGAUAUUGGACUGUGGGCGAAAGCCUGAUCCAGCAAUGCCGCGUGAGUGAUGAAGGCCUUAGGGUUGUAAAGCUAUUUUACCCGGGAUGAUAAUGACAGUACCGGGAGAAUAAGCUCCGGCUAACUCCGUG
rnacentral:rRNA from 1 species